AUUAGAGUUUGAUCCUGGCUCAGGACGAACGCUGGCGGCGUGCCUAAUACAUGCAAGUCGAGCGGACCGACGGGAGCUUGCUCCCUUGGGUCAGCGGCGGACGGAUGAGUAACACGUGGGUAACCUGCCUGUAAGACUGGGAUAACUCCGGGAAACCGGGGCUAAUACCGGAUGCUUGAUUGAACCGCAUGGUUCAAUCAUAAAAGGUGGCUUUUAGCUACCACUUGCAGAUGGACCCGCGGCGCAUUAGCUAGUUGGUGAGGUAACGGCUCACCAAGGCGACGAUGCGUAGCCGACCUGAGAGGGUGAUCGGCCACACUGGGACUGAGACACGGCCCAGACUCCUACGGGGGGCAGCAGUAGGGAAUCUUCCGCAAUGGACGAAAGUCUGACGGAGCAACGCCGCGUGAGUGAUGAAGGUUUUCGGAUCGUAAAACUCUGUUGUUAGGGAAGAACAAGUGCUAGUUGAAUAAGCUGGCACCUUGACGGUACCUAACCAGAAAGCCACGGCUAACUACGUGCCAGCAGCCGCGGUAAUACGUAGGUGGCAAGCGUUAUCCGGAAUUAUUGGGCGUAAAGCGCGCGCAGGUGGUUUCUUAAGUCUGAUGUGAAAGACCACGGCUCAACCGUGGAGGGUCAUUGGAAACUGGGAGACUUGAGUGCAGAAGAGGAAAGUGGAAUUCCAUGUGUAGCGGUGAAAUGCGUAGAGAUAUGGAGGAACACCAGUGGCGAAGGCGACUUUCUGGUCUGUAACUGACGCUGAGGCGCGAAAGCGUGGGGAGCGAACAGGAUUAGAUACCCUGGUAGUCCACGCCGUAAACGAUGAGUGCUAAGUGUUAGAGGGUUUCCGCCCUUUAGUGCUGAAGUUAACGCAUUAAGCACUCCGCCUGGGGAGUACGGCCGCAAGGCUGAAACUCAAAGGAAUUGACGGGGGCCCGCACAAGCGGUGGAGCAUGUGGUUUAAUUCGAAGCAACGCGAAGAACCUUACCAGGUCUUGACAUCCUCUGACAAUCCUAGAGAUAGGACGUUCCCCUUCGGGGGACAGAGUGACAGGUGGUGCAUGGUUGUCGUCAGCUCGUGUCGUGAGAUGUUGGGUUAAGUCCCGCAACGAGCGCAACCCUUGAUCUUAGUUGCCAGCAUUCAGUUGGGCACUCUAAGGUGACUGCCGGUGACAAACCGGAGGAAGGUGGGGAUGACGUCAAAUCAUCAUGCCCCUUAUGACCUGGGCUACACACGUGCUACAAUGGACGGUACAAAGAGCUGCAAGACCGCGAGGUGGAGCUAAUCUCAUAAAACCGUUCUCAGUUCGGAUUGUAGGCUGCAACUCGCCUACAUGAAGCUGGAAUCGCUAGUAAUCGCGGAUCAGCAUGCCGCGGUGAAUACGUUCCCGGGCCUUGUACACACCGCCCGUCACACCACGAGAGUUUGUAACACCCGAAGUCGGUGGGGUAACCUUUUUGUAGCCAGCCGCCUAAGGUGGGACAGAUGAUUGGGGUGAAGUCGUAACAAGGUAACCAAUCUCUAGAGGA
rnacentral:rRNA from 1 species